CAGAUGCUGGAUGAGGCUCUGCUGAAUUUCAUCCUGAAGGACUGCCAGCCCCUCAGCAUUGUGGAGAGUGAAGGGUUCAGGGAACUGGUUCAGGUCCUUCAGCCCUCAUAUGUUUUGCCAACCAGAAAGACCAUCAAACAAAUGGUGGCCAAAAAGUAUGAGGAACGGGAACAGUGAAACUGGAAGUACAGCAAGCUGUGGCAAUAACCUUUGGCAACAUCUUGACAUCGAAGUGGGCAGGCAGACCAAAAGUGCCACAGCUGAUGCCAUCCAGGAGGUGCAGAGCUACCUGGCAGAGGACAAUAUUGCCAGGUCCCAGGAUCCUAUGAGAUACUGGGACAACCAAAAGACAAUCUAUCCAAACCUCUUCCGGCUUUCCUUACAAUUUCUCUGCACUGCAGCCUCAUCUGUGCUGUGUGAGCAGGUGUUUUCUACAGCUGGA